ACAGGUGGUGCAUGGUUGUCGUCAGCUCGUGUCGUGAGAUGUUGGGUUAAGUCCCGCAACGAGCGCAACCCUACGUUUAGUUGCUAACGCGUGAAGGCGAGCACUCUAGACGAACUGCCGUUGACAAAACGGAGGAAGGUGGGGAUGACGUCAAAUCAUCAUGCCCCUUAUGUUCUGGGCUACACACGUGCUACAAUGGCCGGUACAGACGGACGCAAAGCCGCGAGGUGGAGCAAAUCCUAAAAAGCCGGUCUCAGUUCGGAUUGCAGGCUGCAAUUCGCCUGCAUGAAGUCGGAAUCGCUAGUAAUCGCAGGUCAGCAUACUGCGGUGAAUACGUUCCCGGGCCUU
rnacentral:rRNA from 1 species